UUUCUUUAUAGGGAUGAUGCCACGAUAUUAUUGAUCGUGCUCCUCCACCAUAGAAACAAUUUUGAUUUGAGGUCGGUCUAAAAAUAGUUAUGUUUUGAAAAAUGAUUUAAAAUAUUUAGUUCACACGUAGGCACAUAAACAAUUACAUAUAAAUGCACAUAAUUCUUUUUGAAAUUCAUGGGAAGUGGUACUUCCGGGGACGCAUCGGUUUUAAAAAAUUGGAACUAGACCUCGUAGUUCCUUUGACUUUCCCACUAACGAUAGGUUAGGAGAUAGUACUUUAUAAUUUAUUUCAAAAUAAAGUAGAGUCAUAAUCAAUCCAAAAUUUAAAGAAAGAUUGAAUAAUGACUUUUUUAAAAAAUUUAUGUUACAAGGUUUUGAAAUGUUUUUUAAAGCCAAGUUAAAUGCAUGAAAUGAUUCUAAGUUAGUAUUAAGAAAAAAAAAUAUUGCAUCACGAAUGUGGAAAACAAAUGGGAUUACUAGUUAAAUAAUAUUAAUUAAUUUUAGGGGAGGACUCAAAUAUGCACAAACAAAUUUUAUUCUCUUAUUUACAAACCUAUAGACAUGAUUUCUAGGUGUUCAAAAAAGUAACAUAUAUAUGCAUGAUUUCGUAAAUGGUAUGAACAAAUUAAACCUUAGACAUGGUUUCUACAUGAUAAGACAAAUGAGAAUUUAUAAUAUUUUAACAUCUAACAACCUACUAGAUUUAUUAGGAUUUGAUUUUAACAUUUAAAAAUUAAUGGAUUCUAGUUCUUAUUUUUUAAGGCUUGUUAACAAAAACGUCAAGCAAAUUGAAAAUUGAUUAGAUUAUAACACCUACAAAUAUCAAAUCUAGGUGGUUAAAGACAAACCUAUAGGCAUGAUUUCUAAAAAAAAAAUAAUGAGCAAGUAAGCAUAUAAAUCCCCCUCCCCUAGACGACCCCCAAAUAACUUUAUUAUAUGAUCUUUAGGGUUACAAUUGUUACAUCAUUCAAAUAAAUAAAAUAGCGGAAAAAAUAAAAAAAUAUAUAUAUAUAUAUACAUUCAAACAAAUAAACAAAUCCUUCUUCAGUUAAUAUUCAACUUGAACUUCAAAUAUGAAACCUGUCAAAGUAAUUAAAUAACUACACAAGUAAUCACACUUGUUAGUUAAGGUGAGACAAUAUGCAAUCGUUUAAUGACGAAUUCUAUAUAAAAAACAGACAAUGGUUUACACAAAUAUGUGAAUAUGAAAAUAGUAUGAAUGUUAAGAAUACUAACCUGUUAAACAAAACAAGAUGAUUCACCUUUUACUCGAAAAAAGUAGGAAAAUAGCGAAGAAAAACACUUGAAUAUUCACCGAAAUAUUAAUGUUGUUUAAAGUAGCAAGAGAGCAAUGAGAGGAGGGAGAGUGAUGAGAGAAUUUUUUGGUUGAGAGUGAAUGGGUGUCUGAAUGAAUAAAAGGAGUCUCUUUAUAUAGUAGAGGAGGGGGAAACAAAUAAGGGAAAUAAAUAUUUAAAGAAAUCAAUUAUAAUACAAUUUUCCUUAUUUUAAAGGAUAUCCAAAUCAGAAAAUAUGUUAAUAUAUUUCAUUACCAAAUAUAAACAAGUAAGGAUAAAUUAGUAAAUUUAAAAAUAAGAAAAUCAAUUAAACUUAUUCUUAUUUUAAGAGCCAAAUCAGAUUAUAAGAAAAAAAAAUUACUAAACUUAAGCAAGAAAGAAUUAGGAAGAGCAAUAUAUUUUCCUUAAAUAUAUUCUGAUUUUUUCUUAUUUUUACCAAAUAUGUGAGCAAGAUAAUUAAGCACAUCACAAGAAAUACACCCAACUUAUUUAUUUAAUCUUUUAUCAAAGAGAUCAAAAUAAUAUACGCCAAUUUUCAAAUUUAUUAUUAUAUUUUUUUUUAAAGACAAUCAACUAAAAGUCAUUACUACACUAAAUUACUUGAUAUUAACAAUAGGUGAAAACAAUUAUAUUUAGGGAGAAGAUAAUCAUGCUUUUUGGAGACUACAAAAUAGCAAUGCAAGCAGAUCACCAUAUCCAUAAAUAUGAAAAUUUACCACAUCACUUAUUUUAUAAUCAAUUAAUUGCUAUGAGUAAUUUUCUCAAAUCAAGCAUUUCAAACACCAGAUUAUGACAUAGAUAUGCUAAUUAUCUCAAAAAUUAAAAAAAAACGAUCAUGCACAAAUAAACUGUAUUAAGCAAACGGUAAUUAGUGAGCUUGUACUUAGAAUACUAUUAAAUCUUGACAAAUUGAUCUAAUCAUAUAAUAAAAUGAUAAUGAUUAAGCUCAUGAACAAAUAGACACCAAUUCAGGAUGGGGCAAAAUAUAUUCAAACUAAACAUUGAUAUCUUAACAAUUCUUCAAACUCAAAAACAAAGACAUCACUUUUUUUUUUAGAUAUUUAUGCAAACAAACUCAAAACCAACAAUUUCGUAAUUUAAACUAAGAAGUUUGAACUAGAAAGCUUACUUAGACGGAUCUGUUGAAGAUCCGUCUUUGACCAACUCGAAUUUCCCAAGGACUUCAUCGGAGUUGUUGUCGUUGCCGGUGGAGCCUGCUGCUGCAAUGCCUCGCUAGGCUGCUGGUUUCGCUGGACAAAGCUGCUGUUCGCCGGUCACUGAUGUCCGCUGCUGCUGCGUGGUGGCUGUCGCCGCUUCUCCUCGCCUGGCUGCUGCUACCUGCAAAGAGGAGAGGAACGGGAAGAGGAGAGACGGGAGGGGAAGAGAGGGAAGAGGAGAGAAAGAGGGAGAAGGGGGACGAAGAGAGAAAGAGGGAGAAGGGGACGAAGGGAGAGGGGAGGAGCGAUGGGAGAAAGGGAGAGGGACAGCUGUCGGAGUUCUGCUGCUGCUGCUCCUGGUUUCGCCGACGGUCGCUGCUGCUGGAGAAGCCGUUACUGCUAGGAGAAAAAGAGAAGAAGAGGGGAUGGGGCGAGAGAGAAGAAGGGGGCGUCGCUGGAGAGAGAGAGAAGGGAGAGGGCGGCUGGUCGGAAAAAGGGAGAGAGGGAGGAGGUUCGACGGGAGAGGGAAGGAAGAGUGGGGGUGGCGGCUUGGAGAAGGGGGGGAAGAGAAAAAUGAAUUGAAAUUUUUUAGGUUUUAGGGUCUUUUUUGUGUUGAAGAAAGAGAAAGGGAGACUUAAUCACAACCGUUGGUUUAGAUAGAGAUGAAGGGUUAGGAUUCGAUCUAGGAUUUAUUUUUUAAGAUGGACGGAUGAGAUCAAAAGAUCAAGUCUUGAAAUUAGAUUAACAAAGAUAUAGAGUGGCUAAAAUUGGAAUAACAAUUGGCCAGAAUUGAAAGGAAGAGAUGGCUACGAUUGUAAUAAAAUUUUAAUUGGAGGGGCUAGAAUUGAAAGAAAUUAGAAUAAAAUAGGCUAGAACUUGAAUAAUUUCUAAAAUAUUUUGUAUAAUUGAAAAUCAUUUAAAUUUUAAAACAUUUGAAAUUCAUUAAUAAUUUUAAACAUAUAAUAAUAUUUACAAUAGUUUUAUAAAGUAAAUGAUACUAUAUAAUUUUGAGAAAAGAACGACUAAAACUUUAAAAUUUUAAGUAAAUUUUAAAAUACGUAUUUAGUCGAAUAUAAUCCUAAAACGGUUAAAGGUCGGUCAAAAUUGGGUGUCAACAGCUGCCCCUUGGUUGAUUGAGAAUGAAGAAUGAAUUGUCAAGCAACCAACGUUGACUUAGUAGCCGAUUUUGUCCGACCGACGAGAGAUGUCAAUUGGAUCAAUUGAAAUGAUAUAGAAUUGAAAAAGGGUACGACCGAGACUUUGGUUGUAAGUCGCCUACAUAUCUCUGGUUAUACGAGAAUCAGGUCGUGUGUAGUUCUAGAUUCAAGAGCAAAUGAAACUCUUAAAAAUUGAAAGAGCGGUAAGGUAUUAGGAAGGCACGAUAUCGGCUUGAAUAGAUAAGAUUAGAGUAACGAGAAGAGAGAGAUUGAGAGACUAAGAGAGUGUGACAGAGAAGCGAGAAGAGCAUGAUAGAGUGAGGCUAUCAGCCUUUGAGCGAAGCUCGGGGUUUGAAGAAUUGAUAGAGUCUUUGUUGUGAUAGAGGAUAGCAUGAUAAUUGUAAUCAAAGGCGAUCGAUCAUAUCUGCAAAUUCCUGUUUGAGACGUAGUGCAAGCCUUUAUAGUCUUCAACUUCUCGAAGGAUUGAACCCAUCUCUGAAGAAUGACGUCAAACUCCAAUAGAUUUGAUACUAUAAAGAUAUAACAGUAUAGACGAAAAUAUCUAGUUAUAAGGAAAGUCUAAACGUCAUUUUAAGGCAGACGAGCCUAAGUGUCGUUUUAAGGCGGACAACCUAAAUAUCUUAUAAAGCGGACGAACAUAAAUGUAUUAUGAGGCGGACAAGCCUAGAUGUCCUUUUUAAGGUGGACGACCUAAAUGUCCUAUAAGAUGGACUAACCUAAAUGUCGUUUUAAUGCGGACGAGCCUAAAUGUCGCAUUGUAAGGUGGACGAGCCUAGAUGUCACAUUGUAAGGCGGACGAGCCUAGAUGUCACAUUGUAAGGCGGACGAGCCUAGAUGUCGCAUUGUAAGGCGGACGAGCCUAGAUGUCGCAUUGUAAGGCGGACGAGCCUAGAUGUCACAUUGUAAGGCGGACGAGCCUAGAUGUCGCAUUGUAAGGCGGACGAGCCUAGAUGUCGCAUUGUAAGGCGGACGAGCCUAGCUGAAGACAUAGAAAGUCACAGUGGCGAGUUGAAUCCGAAGAUAUCUUCAUGGUAGCCUGAAUGAUAGCGAAACAAUAGUUCGAGUAGCCAAGAAUUUGUUGUAGCCUUUGUGUGUAAGCAAAGGAACAACCGUUCAGAAGGCGACUUUGUCUGUAAUCUGCAUAACUGUAACUUGUAGUAGAGUAAUUAGAGCAAAAUAAGCGGUAAAUGUAAACAUGAUGCAAUUUCCCAUAUAGACCAUGAAUGUUUGCCUUAAGACCAUGCAAGAUGAUGUCUUAGGCUAUGGUGUCUAGGGCCAUGAUACGUGAAAUGUAUCCUCAGGUCAUGAAAUGUUGUCUGCAGGCCAUGAAGAUGACGCCUUUAGACUAUGACACCUUCGGAUUAUGAUAGGAAGAAAUUAAACCCUUAGGCCAUGAUAUGAUGUCCGCAGGCCAUGAGGAUGAUGCCUUUAGACUAUGACGCCUUAGGAACAUGAUAUGCAUAAAAUAAGUCCUCAGGCCAUGACAUGAAGUCCGCAGGCUAUGAAAGAUGAUGCCUUUGGAGGAUGACGCCUUUGGGAUAUUAGUAAUGAGUAAAGAGAGCGUAUCUGUUUUUGACAUCUGUUGAUACUUAUGACUUGAUUUGAUUCGGGCACAUGUAAACUUCAAGCACGAUGCAAUCUUGAGCUUAUGCAAACUUCGGGCACAAUGAAGUCUCGGGCACAAUGCGAUAAUGCAUUUCUUCGGGCACAUGCAAUAUCGAGCAUAAUGCAAUGAUGCACUUCUUCAAGCACAAUAUAAUAUCGGGCACAUGCAGUAUCGAGCAUAUGUAAUGGUGCAUUUCUUCGAGCACAUAAAAUAUCGAGAGCAUGCAAUAAUGUGAUUCUUCGAUCAUAAGUCAAUAUUGGGCAUAUGCGAUGAUGUAUUUCCUCGGGCACAUGACAUAUCGAGCCCAUGCAAUAAUGUGUUUGUCCGGGCACAUAGAAUAUCGAGCGCAUGCAAUAAUGCAAUUCUUCGAGCAUAAGUCAAUAUUGGGCAUAUGCGAUGAUGUAUUUCCUCGGGCACAUGAAAUAUCGAGCACAUGCAAUAAUGUAUUUCUUCGGGCACAUAAAAUAUCGAGCGCAUGCGAUAAUGCAAUUCUUCGAGCAUAAGUCAAUAUUGGGCAUAUGCGAUGAUGUAUUUCCUCGGGCACAUGAAAUAUCGAGCACAUGCAAUAAUGUGUUUCUUCGGGCACAUAAAAUAUCGAGCGCAUGCAAUAAUGCAUUUUGGCAUUCUCGUGCAUAACAUAAUGAUGUAGUUCUUUGAGCAUAGUGUGAUAUCAGGCAUAGUAUCGAGCAUAGUAGCUUGGGCGUUCGCCUUAUUGGAAGGACCGAGUGUCAUGUUUCGGCUCAAAUGUGGUGAUGUUGAUUGUUGCAGUUGCCUUCGUAUAUGUACCUGUAUUUUCUACAUUCAAAGAGAAAUAGUUAGUUUAAAGGGGGGAAGGUUGAUCUGUAUCCAUGAUUUGACGCAGCGUGCUCCUUUGACUUGCCAUCCACACCUCUUCGAGCGUCUGUUUUUUUUUCAUAAAAAGGGGGAAAGGAGAGAAAAAAAAUAAAAAAAAUAAAAAAAAAUAAAAACAAAAACUUUGAAAGAUUUUUAAUAAAAGCCGAUGUCGAAUCUUUGACCAUGGCGUAGGUUGAGAAUUUACAACGUCUGACUCAAAAGUGGAGCUAUCAUUUAAUCUUUGUUGUAAGCUGACUGCUUGUUGAGAAGAAACUUUCGGUGAAAUUUUGAGUUUACUCAAAAUUUCUGCCCCAGUAUGAAGAUGUGCCAGGAGGAAUCUUAAUGGAAUUUUUGAGAUCCUCUCAAAAAUUCUGCCCCAGUUAUCAAUAGAAAAGGGGGAAAUGAAAGUUUUAUUUAUAAUAAGACCGAACCCCAUAGGAGCGCCUACGUAUCCCCUCUUAAAUGGGAAUCAGGUCUGACGUAGUUCCAAAUUACAAAAGAGCAUGAAUCAAUCUCUAGAUGUAAUACUUUUUCACAGAAUCUGAAUUGAUAGGUUUUGGCCAAACUUCUCCAUCCAUUUCUGCAAGUAUGAGGGCUCCGCCUGUCAGUACUCGAGAGACUAUGUAUGGACCUUGCCAAUUUGGUGAAAAUUUACCCUUUGCCUCGUCUUGAUUUGGAAAAAUCCGCUUCAAAACCAGUUGCCCAGGUGAGAAAUGUCUGGGUUUAACCUUCUUGUUGAAAGCUCUGGCCAUUCUAUUCUGAUAGAGCUGACCAUGACAAAUGGCGUUAAUUCUUCUUCCAUCUAUUAAUGCCAAAUUCUCUGCCCGACCUCGUAUCCAAUCAGCAUCACUCAACUUUGCUUCUUGGAUGAUCCUUAGGGAAGGUAUCUCAACUUCGGCGGGUAUCACAGCUUCGGUGUCGUAUACUAAGAAGUAAGGUGUGGCCCCUGUGGAAGUUCUGAUUGUGGUACGAUACCCCAGCAAUGCGAAAGGUAGCUUUUCCUGCCAGUGUUUGUGAUUAUCGAUCAUCUUGCGCAAUAUCCUUUUGAUGUUUUUGUUUGCCGCCUCAACAGCCCCAUUCAUCUGUGGCCUGUAUGCUGUAGAGUUUCGAUGACUGAUCUUGAACUUCUCACACAUUGAUCUCAUCAGGUCACUGUUUAGGUUGGUGCCGUUAUCGGUGAUGAUUGACUCAGGAAUUCCAAACCUACAAAUAAUGUUGUUUUUGACAAAGUCAUCCACAACUUUCUUUGUCACUGAUUUAUGGGAGGUGGCCUCAACCCACUUGGUGAAAUAGUCAAUUGCAACAAGAAUGAAUCUGUGCCCGUUGGAUGCUGUUGGCUCGAUUGGACCAAUGACAUCCAUGCCCCAUGCUGCGAACGGCCAAGGUGAACUAGUGACAUGGAGUUCGUUGGGAGGUACUCGAAUCAUAUCUGCGUGAGUCUGACAUUGAUGGCAUUUCUGGACGUAGCGAAUGCAGUCUGUCUCCAUAGUUAGCCAAUAAUAUCCUGAUCUCAGAAUCUUCUUUGCUAAUGUAAAACCGUUCAUGUGAGGGCCACAGGUGCCUGCAUGUAUCUCUUCGACCAGCCUGCGAGCCUCUCUUGCUUCGACGCAUCUUAGCAGUCCCAAAUCGGGAGUUCUCCUAUAGAGUAUUUCCCCACUUAAGAAGAAUUGGGUUGCUAACCUUCGAAUUGUACGCUUUUGUACACUUGUUGCAUCUUCUGUGUAUUCACCACUCUUCAAAUAUCUUCUAAUGUCAUCAUACCAGGGCUUUCCAUCAGGCUCUUCCUCAACAUGGAAACAAUAAGCUGGUUGUUCAUGUAUAUGAAUGUGAAUAGGAUCGAUGUAAUUGUGAUCAGGGUGUCGAAUCAUAGAAGACAGAGUGGCUAAGGCGUCUGCAAAUUCAUUUUGGACCCUUGGUACAUGUCUAAAUUCUGUUUUGACAAACCUUUUACAUAGCCUGUGCACGCACUCCAAAUAUGGUAACAACUUUCGAUUUUUUGUUGCCCAAUCACCUCGAACCUGAUGGAUCAAUAGGUCUGAAUCCUAUUAUUAUCAUUUCCUGGACAUCCAAGUCGAUCGCCCGUCGGAGACCUAGUAUGCAGGCUUCGUAUUCGGCCAUAUUAUUUGAGCAAAGGAAUCUGAGUUUUGCUGAUACUGGAUAAUGUUGCCCGGUGGGUGAGAUCAAAACAGCCCCAAUGCCGCAUCCAUUCAGAUUUUUAGCUCCAUCAAAAAACAUUCUCCAUCCAUCAUAUUCUUCAGAAAUGUCCUCUCCCACAAACGCCACCUCUUCAUCUGGGAAGUAGGUCUUCAGCGGUCUGUAAUCAUCGUCCACGGGAUUCUCUGCCAUAUGGUCUGCUAAUGCCUGUGCUUUCACUGCUUUUUGCGUGACAUACACUAUGUCAAACUCACUCAACAGUAUCUGCCAUUUUGCCAGUUUACCUGUGGGCAUAGGCUUUUGAAAGAUAUACUUCAAAGGAUCCAUCCUUGAAAUCAGAUAAGUGGUAUGCGAUGAGAGGUAAUGUCGUAACUUUUGGGCAACCCAUGUUAGAGCACAACAGGUACGCUCUAAUAGAGAGUAUCGGGCUUCGCACGAUGUGAACUUCUUGCUCAUAUAAUAUAUUGCUUGCUCCUUCCUCCCUGUUUCAUCGUGUUGUCCCAAGAUGCAACUGAAAGCAUUAUCCAAUACUGAAAUAUACAAAAGUAAUGGUCUACCUGACUCUGGUGGCACCAAUACAGGAGGAUUGGAUAGAUAGUCUUUGAUCUUGUCAAAUGCCUGUUGACAUUCACUUGUCCAUUUCACUGCAGCAUCCUUUUUUAACAGCUUGAAGAUAGGUUCACAGAUGACAGUAGACUGAGCAAUGAAACGACUGAUGUAGUUAAGUCGCCCUAAGAAACUCAUUACCUCCUUCUUGCUCUUUGGUGGGGGAAGAUCACGAAUGGCUUUGAUCUUUGACGGGUCCAAUUCUAUACCUCGACGACUGACAAUGAAACCUAAAAGCUUUCCAGCAGGCACACCGAAGACACAUUUUGCCGGAUUCAGUUUCAGAUUGUACUUGCGUAGCCUGGCAAAGAAUUUCCGUAAAUCCUCCAAAUGAUUUAAACUUUCCUUUGAUUUGAUGAUGACAUCAUCCACAUAAACUUCAAUUUCCUUAUGGAUCAUGUCGUGAAACAAAGUAGUCAUCGCUCUCAUGUACGUAGCUCCAGCGUUCUUUAGUCCAAAAGGCAUCACCUUGUAGUUAUAGACGCCCCACGGCGUGAUGAAAGCGGUUUUCUCAGCGUCGUCUUUGUGCAUCUCAAUUUGAUGAUAGCCGGCAAAGCAAUCCACAAAUGACUGAGUUUCGUGCUUAGCACAAUUAUCAAUCAGUAUGUGUAUGUUUGGUAAUGGAAAGUUAUCUUUAGGGCUAGCUUUAUUGAGAUCUCGGUAAUCCACGCAAACUCUGACCUUGCCGUCUUUCUUGGGCACUGGAACGACAUUUGCAAGCCAAGUUGGGUAUUCUGUCACUUGGAGUAUCCCAACAUCUAAUUGCUUUGAUACUUCUUCUUUGAUUUUCAAACUCAUCUCGGGCUUGUAUUUUCUCAGCUUCUGUUUUACCGGAGGACAUGCUGGAUCAGUGGGUAGUCGAUGGGCUACGAUUGCAGUACUUAGCCCUGUCAUGUCUGCGUAGGACCACGCGAAAAUAUCCUUAUUCUCUAUGAGAAACUCGGUAUACUCUUUCUUGUCUUCUUUUGUCAUAUGGAUGCUUACUCGGGUUUCUUGUAUCACCUCUGCAUUUCCCAAAUUCACCACUUCUGUCUCUACCAAAUUUGGAUUGGGUUUUUCCUCGAAUUCCUCAACCCUUUUGAUUAACUCCUCGGGAACCUCAUUGUCUUCGACUUCUUCUAAGUCAUUAAGGUUAAGCUGAGCAGUCUCAUUGUAUGCCACAAUCUCAGAUUCGACAUUUUUAUAAUGAAUUUUGCUGGUGAGAAAAAAAAUAGUAAAAAUUAAAUACAAGACAAAAAAAUGGGGAAAAGAACUUUAUUGAUAAAGAUUUGAAAAUUUCAUAAGUCCUCAUUUGAAAGCAAUACAUGGGACGGGAAUUAAAACGUUUAUUAAAAACUCCUUUAUUUGAAUUAAAACUUGAUAGAAAAACAUCUUCCAAGGCUACCCAGAUGCUCGACGAGGUCUGGAUGGAGUCGAGGUCCAGUUGCUGACGCUGAUCUUUGCCUCCUUGCUUCCACUAGGGCCCCCUUUCUCCUCCUCGUUGAUCACGACGUUGCAAACUUUCCCUUCUUCUUUGGUUAGCGAUAACCCCUUCAAGUCGUCUGAGAUCUCAUCAAUAUUGUCUCCCAUGAAACCUGCUGAUCGAAAUGAUUGAUACAAUGGCGGUAUGGGUUUCUUCAAUGGAUAGUAGUACCCAUCUCUAGGUGGUCGCCAAUCGAGCCAUUCUUCGGUGGUGUAUUUAUAACCCAAACCAAAAGUGGUGGAAUGUCGAACAGGCUGUAUAGGUUCGACUAUCCCUUGUAAUUUAGCCCCCAAACCUUUCCCAAGCUCGAAACCGAACCAGGCCAUCAUAUCUAUGAUUUUUUGGCUGAACCAAGGUUGCAACUCAAUAUUACCAACAAGCUCCACUGUAUGGUACAUUUCGCCAUCCAUAUUCUCUCUUCCUUCAAUCGUGUAUACAGGAUGCCCUUUUUCCCCAUGGACCACAACCUCUUCGUAAUCCCAUUCAAACUUCAGGCAUUGGUGAAGAGUAGAUGGAACCGCUCCAGCCAUAUGAAUCCAUGGACGACCCAAUAAUAAGUUGUACGAUGAAGGGAUGUCCAAAAUUUGGAAAGCUAUGGGGAAAGUGACAGGACCAAUGAGCAUGUCCAAGGUUAUCUCCCCAAUAGUGCCUCUCUGAGAGCCGUCAAAUGCCCUCACAUUCAUCUUCCAUGUCUGAAUUUUUGCACUAUCCACACCCAGCCUCGUCAGUGUGCUCAGAGGGCAAAUGUUUAAACCUGAACCUGCAUCAACUAAUGCUUUGUUUAUCACCUUAUCCUGAUACUGAACCGAAAUGUACAAAGCUUUAUUGUGAGUUGUUCCUUCGAUUGGCAGUUCAUCUUUGUGAAAAGAUAUUUUGUAAGCCUCAAAGACCUGCCCCACCAUUUGGGAUACCUCUCCAUGAGUGAUGUUAGACGGGACAUAAGCUUCACCAAGGAUCUUCAGAAGGGCAUCUCGAUGAGUUUCGGAAGAUUGUAGUAACUCCAGAAUUGAUAUUUGGGAAGGGGUUUUACUCAGCUGCUCAAUGACAGAGUAUUCUUUAGCUUUAACCUUUUUCCAAAUACUUUGAUCCUCGAGCUCUACGAUUGGCGCUUUGGAUUUGCUAGAGCUUCCCUGAACCAAAUUUUCAGAAGUGUAAAUUCUUCCAGAUCUGGUGACCCCUGUUGCAACAUCUGUCUCUUCCACAUUUGUUUCUCUUUUGUUGUAAUCCCAAGGUACAGCAUGUGUGUCACAUUGUAUUGGGGAGGAUGCCUUAUAGACAGCGAAUGGUGGUCUGGGUGCAGCAACUUCUACUUCAAAUGGGGCGAGUCCUUGCACUAUUAGUGGUGCCUGGGCAGUGGUAGGCAUGGCUUCCUCUGUUUCGACGGCCCAGAUAGAUUCUUCCCAAUCCCAGACAUCACCAGCUUCCACCAUGUUGACUUGAUGGUUAGGGAGAGGAUUAUUCGCAACAUUCGGUGUAGGAUCCUUCAGUUGGAUGGUUUUUGUAUCAAUCAACAUUUGAACCUUAUCCUUAAGGGCUCUGCAAACUUCGGUGGUGUGGCCCUUCAUCCCAGAAUGGUAGGCGCAGACCUUGUUAGGGUCGUACCAUUUCGCGCGAACGUCCACAGGUAAUGCAGGAAUUGGAGAGACGUACCCAGCUUGUUUCAGUCUCUCAUAAAGUUGUGCUAUGGGUUCAGCCAAAGGGGUAUAGGUUUUUGUAGGUCUGUUUCGGUAAUUUGGUGUUUGAGUGGGUGGUGGAGUUUGGAAGUGUGUUGGUUGAACAUUAUAGACAGGAUAUGAGGCAUGCAAAUAUUGAGGAGGAGCAUUUUGGUAAUAUAUUGGCAUGGGUUGGGGAGAUAUAGGGGGUGGAGCUGAGGGAUGUUGAGGGUAUGGGGUGUGAAGGUAUGGGGUGUGAGGGUAUGGGGAUGGUGGUGGGUUUGUUGUCUUGUGCCUCAAAGGGGUCCUAGUUCCAUGAGCCAUCAUUACAGAACCUGUUUUCUUUCGACUCUCUGUCAUUCCACCAGAUUGCAGAGCCUUGUUGGUUGCUUGUAAAGCCUCCAAGUUGAUGAUAGUCCCAUUCUUUAUGCCUUCUUCAAUUCUUUCGCCUAGUUUGAUGAUUUCAGCGAAACUCUUUUCAGCCACCAGCAUCAUUCGGUCAUAGUAUUGUGGUUCUUGGGCACGGAUGAAAUAGUCUUUCAUUUGAGAUUCUUCCAUAGGGGGUCUGGCCCUAGCCGCCUCAGACCUCCAUCUUAUGGCAUAUUCUCUGAAGGAUUCACUCGGUUUCUUCUUUAGGUUCUGAAUGUAAAACCAAUCAGGCGCAUUUUCAAUAUUGAAACCAAACCUAUUCAUGAAGUCAGUUGCCAUAUCAACCCAUUUUAUCCAUUUCCGCGAGUCUUGCUCAAUGUACCAUGAUAGGGCCUCCCCAGUAAGACUCCUCAUGAACAACUUCAUGAGUAUCCUCUCAUCUCUCCCCACCCCUACAAGUUUGUCGCAAUACAUUCGUAGGUGGGCUUUGGGAUCCCCAAUGCCAUUGAACGUCUCAAACUUCGGAAGCUUGUAUCCUUCGGGCAGUUCCACAUCAGGAUGCAUGCACAGAUCCUCAUAGCCCAAUCCUCCCAACCUUUUGUUUCCUUCCACGUGUUGUACCCUGUUGGUCAAGUUGUCUAAUCUCUCAGUCAGGGUUUUUAUUAAGAUGUCUUUCUGAUGGGACUCUGACUCAUGGAGGUCAUGAGUCAGAGGGGCAGUUUCAACGUAUAUGGGAUUGGGAUUGUUGUUCCCAAAAGUAUGUGGGAUAUUUGUGUUUGGGGUUGUUUCUGGGACAGUUGGUUUGGUAUGUUGGUAAUAGUGGUGAAAUGGAAAUUGGGUAUUUUGGGCGUGGGGUGGUGGAAAGGCAUUUGGACGAAUGGGUUCAGGUGGGGAUAUAUGGAUUGGAGGAUUGUCUGGCGUGGCUGUUUGAUUAGGAGGAUUGUCUAUGUUUUCUCCAAAUUGGGUUCCAAGAGAGAUAGACAACUUGGCCAAAUCACGCAUGUUGGCUACCUCUUCUUCCAAUUGCGAAAUCUUGCGCUCGAGUCUUAGGAUAAGAUUACUAUGAAGUUGUCCUCCCUCAGAAGCUUCUACCCUUUCAGUGGUGCUGUUGUCGUCAACCAUUUUUCCUUUGUCUUUUGAGCUUGCUCUUUGAGAAGAAGGAGAAGGGGGGUCCCUUUUGAUCGUGUAUGUGCCAGGAUGAAGGACAGAUCAACCUUAGGAAAUGGGAAAACAAUAGAAUCAAAAGAAAAGAGUUAGGGGUUAAGAUAAUAUCACAAUAUCAACACGUUGUUUUGAAAUAAACGCCCUAAAUGCAAGGAACCUCGUUGAGCCAGAGGUAGGCCUAAGCGACACAUAAGUGAUGCAUAAUAAUUAAUUCAAGCCUUAUUUGCCAAUUUGGAGUUUAGAGUUAGAUAAUAGAACAACUUUCGAUUAUUGAAAUAAUUUCUGUUUAUUACAUCAAUCUAAAGAUAACUAAAGGGCUAGGGAUAACAUAUGGGGAGUAAAGAGAAAUAAAUAAUAAUAAAAAACUUUAAUCAUGUUGCUCUCCAAUGUUAGGCACAAUCUGCUUCUUCAUUUCUAGGGUAAUGUCAUAAUCAGUGUUGAGGAGGUUGCGAGCCCAUCUUCUCUCUUUUUCAUCGCCAAAACCAGGAAGACCUCCUUCGCUUAAAUCUCUAUGCUCUGCAUCUUCUAAAAGCCAUACAUAAUAUUCAGGUGUGCAGAAGGGUCGGUGCUCUUGAACAUCGAUAGUUAUCACAUUCUUCCAUCUUCGCAGUAUGGUGUUCACUUGCGGUAAUUCUGACCCAAAGUCAUAUCCAUAGUGGCUCAUGUGGGAUCGUAGAGGUAUCAUUUGGAUCUGUCCGAAUUGUCGAAGGACUCGAAGUGGUGCGUAGGGUUGCACACCGUUCAAACCGAUAAGCUCAAUGAAGUAAAGUUCAUUUCCUCUUAUGAUGGCACGUCGUGGCUUCAACCAAUAAUACUUCCAUUGGAUUUCAACGGCUGACCGCUCCUUUAGGUAUGUGAACCAGUCCUCUGUUCCCACAGGGGAGAUAAAAUGUUUCAUCCUUAGGGGAUGGUUGACGAUGUCUACUUUAUUAGCUCUUUGGUAGAAAUGUUCGACGGCCCAAAGUUGCAGCAGAAAGUUGCACCCUUCAAAGUAUCUUUUGCCUUUGGUGCAUGCAGUCAAAGCUCUUAGAAUUUCUGCGAGUAUCAUAGGGACCAAGGUUUUCCCACCUCGAGCCAACAUACGAACCACAUAACAUAAGCCGGUGUGGAUCUUUCCUCCUUCUCUAGGAAAAACCAAUGAGCCUAAUAGGGCGACAGCGAAUGCAUUAAGACGAUACCUUUCCCAUUUUGCAGAAGAGCAAGCAAAUUCUCUAUGAAAGUUUUGAUGACCUUCCUCAUCCCCAAAGCGUGAAUAUAAGAACUCUAAAGAAAUCCAACCUUCUUUCAGACAAAGUAGAUUUGGAUUAUGACACAUGCCCAUUUGCUUCAGAAAAGAUCUUGGACUUGGCUUGUGUGGAACAAUCAUUUCCAACUCUUUGUAUGCGAGACCCAUGAAUCCUCCAACUUCUUCUAUUGUUGGAGUUAGCUCAAAAUCCCUGAACUUGAAGACUAACCUCUCAGUGUCCCAGAAUUUCAACAAUGCCUUGAUUAAGUGACGAUCUGACUCUACGGAGAUCAAAGCAGUGAGGCCGCCUAACAAUUCAUUUGCUUCUAACUCUCGAUUUUUUUGAAUAUCUUUCCACCAAGUCUUCAAAAUGGGAUUAACUUUGACCACCAUUUGCGUGUUUGGAAAGUGAGGGUGAGCCAUGACUCUGCAAACAAAGUAACAAACAACUUCUAAACUCCAUUUUGGCAAUGUUGGCUUGAUUUAAUUAUUAUGAUCACGUUGACACAUAAAUAUGCAAUUUGUCUAAGGGUGUUGGGGCCCUUCAGACGAGAAGGUGGCUACUAAUUACAUGGAUUGACACCAAGGGUCAAACCUCCUAGGGCUUAUGCAGCAUGUAUGACUUAACCAGGACUUCUAAGAGUUGGCUUGACACGGACUUGAAAGGGAUUCUAUGCGAGAGGCUCGUGGCUUCGCGGUAGUAAAACUAUCCACUACGUCCACACAUAUGCCGACUCUCUAUAAUGGGUAUUUGUAUAAGAUUGGAGUAGUUGUGAGAGGUGCAAAGGCACAACAUCACGAGAACAAAAUAAAAAAGGAAGAGGGUCCCAAUUGGGGGAAGUAUGAGCGGGAUGCCAAUUUAUUAAAGCAGUAAACAUUUAGCAUUUAAAUUGGAAAACGGUAACAUAUAGGCAGUUUAUAAACAAUAAAUAAAUAAGCAUAAAUAAAGGAAAGUAGACAUAUAAAGAUAUGAAAACUACGCAAAUAAAGCAAGAGGAUACGAGAUUAAACAUGUAAACAAAUAAGGGGAGAGGGAAGAGGUGAAACAUGAUAAUAAACAAUUAAGGAAAAGGGAAAGGGAGGAACAUGAAGAUGAGAUAAUAAAUAGGGCAACAAAACAUGGUAAGCACCUAAUGAAUAAAAUAAAACCCACAUAAAUAAGCAGUUAACACGUAAUGGUAAGAACCUAACAUCCCCAGCGGAGUCGCCAUUCUGUCGCGCCCCAUUUCGCGGAAAACGGGUUUUGUGCACGACCUAACAACUCUUUUGGGAUUUUUGAGUUUUGGAGUCGCCACCUAACGAAUUAAGGCGCGUUAGGGUGCCUAUCUAACCUAACUAAGUCUAACUAAGGUCAACGGGCCAGAGAUUAGGGUAAGGGUUCAAAUUACCUCGAGGGGAAGGUGUUAGGCAUCCCUCGAGGUCCACAAGUGUGGGUCCCGGCCGUAUCUCAUGCAAUCUAUGUGGGGGUACAAAUAGCAAUCAAGGUCGUUUAUUAAUUUAUUUAAUCUUACUAAGUGAUAACAAAUACGAAACAAUUAAGACUAUUAUUCUUAUUUAGAUAUGUAAAGCUAGGUGAUGGCAAUAAAUAAACAAUUAGGCUCAUUUUAUUUAUUUUGACAUACGACACUAUGUUAUAAACAAAAUUGGCAAAUAUUAAGCAAUUAAUAUGUACGAAAAUAAAGUUUGAAAAUUGAUAAGUUUUGAAUAGGAAUUUUUAUUUUAAAAAAUGUUUGUUUCUUUAUAGGGAUGAUUCCACGAUAUUAUUGAUCGUGCUCCUCCACCAUAGAAACAAUUUUGAUUUGAGGUCGGUCUAAAAAUAGUUAUGUUUUGAAAAAUGAUUUAAAAUAUUUAGUUCACACGUAGGCACAUAAACAAUUACAUAUAAAUGCACAUAAUUCUUUUUGAAAUUCAUGGGAAGUGGUACUUCCGGGGACGCAUCGGUUUUAAAAAAUUGGAACUAGACCUCGUAGUUCCUUUGACUUUCCCACUAACGAUAGGUUAGGAGAUAGUACUUUAUAAUUUAUUUCAAAAUAAAGUAGAGUCAUAAUCAAUCCAAAAUUUAAAGAAAGAUUGAAUAAUGACUUUUUUAAAAAAUUUAUGUUACAAGGUUUUGAAAUGUUUUUUAAAGCCAAGUUAAAUGCAUGAAAUGAUUCUAAGUUAGUAUUAAGAAAAAAAAAAUAUUGCAUCACGAAUGUGGAAAACAAAUGGGAUUACUAGUUAAAUAAUAUUAAUUAAUUUUAGGGGAGGACUCAAAUAUGCACAAACAAAUUUUAUUCUCUUAUUUACAAACCUAUAGACAUGAUUUCUAGGUGUUCAAAAAAGUAACAUAUAUAUGCAUGAUUUCGUAAAUGGUAUGAACAAAUUAAACCUUAGACAUGGUUUCUACAUGAUAAGACAAAUGAGAAUUUAUAAUAUUUUAACAUCUAACAACCUACUAGAUUUAUUAGGAUUUGAUUUUAACAUUUAAAAAUUAAUGGAUUCUAGUUCUUAUUUUUUAAGGCUUGUUAACAAAAACGUCAAGCAAAUUGAAAAUUGAUUAGAUUAUAACACCUACAAAUAUCAAAUCUAGAUGGUUAAAGACAAACCUAUAGGCAUGAUUUCUAAAAAAAAAAAUAAUGAGCAAGUAAGCAUAUAAAUCCCCCUCCCCUAGACGACCCCCAAAUAA
rnacentral:lncRNA from 1 species